UACGUAGGGCGCAAGCGUUGUCCGGAAUUAUUGGGCGUAAAGAGCUCGUAGGCGGUCUGUCGCGUCGGCUGUGAAAAUCCGGGGCUCAACCCCGGGCCUGCAGUCGAUACGGGCAGACUAGAGUGUGGUAGGGGAGACUGGAAUUCCUGGUGUAGCGGUGGAAUGCGCAGAUAUCGAGAGGAACACCAGUGGCGAAGGCGAGUCCCUGGACAACACCUGACACUGAGGCACGAAAGCUAGGGGAGCAAACAGG
rnacentral:rRNA from 1 species